rnacentral:tRNA from 2 species
CAGAUUAGAGCUUGGCUAAAAGUAUUUUAGUUACAUUAAAAAGUUAAUUGUGGGAUUCAAUUUAAUUUGA